UACAGAGGUGGCAAGCGUUGUUCGGAAUUACUGGGCGUAAAGGGCGCGUAGGCGGCCUUCUAAGUCAGACGUGAAAUCCCCCGGCUUAACCUGGGAACUGCGUCUGAUACUGGAGGGCUUGAGUAUGGGAGAGGGAUGUAGAAUUCCAGGUGUAGCGGUGAAAUGCGUAGAUAUCUGGAGGAAUACCGGUGGCGAAGGCGGCAUCCUGGACCAUUACUGACGCUGAGGCGCGAAAGCUAGGGGAGCAAACGGGG
rnacentral:rRNA from 1 species